rnacentral:rRNA from 1 species
AUAAGCUUAUUAAGGGCGUAUGGGGGAUGCCUAGGCUCUCAGAGGCGAUGAAGGACGUGAUAAGCUGCGAAAAGCUACGGGGAUCGGCACACACGAAUUGAUCCGUAGAUAUCCGAAUGGGGCAACCCACUACAUUGAAGGUGUAGUAUCCGCAAGGAGGCGAACCCGGAGAACUGAAACAUCUAAGUACCCGGAGGAGAAGAAAACAACAGUGAUUGCGCUAGUAGCGGCGAGCGAACGUGCAGGAGCCCAAACCAAUAGGUUUACGGAUCUAUUGGGGUUAUAGGACCGCGAUAUUCGAUGCUUGCAGAAUUGGAACAAGUUGGAAAGCUUGGCCGUAGACGGUGACAGCCCGGUACAAGUAAUAAUAUAGUUAUCGAUAGUGGUAUCCUGAGUAGUGCGGGGCACGAGAAACCCUGUAUGAAUUUGGCGGGACCAUCCGCUAAGGCUAAAUACUCCUGAGAGACCGAUAGUGAACCAGUACUGUGAAGGAAAGGUGAAAAGAACCCUGAACAAGGGAGUGAAACAGACCCUGAAACCAUACGCUUACAAGCGGUCGGAGUCUCGAUUUAUCGGGAUGACGGCGUGCCUUUUGCAUAAUGAGCCUACGAGUUACCAUUGCCAGCGAGGUUAAUCUUUUUAAAGAGAGGAGCCGUAGCGAAAGCGAGUCUUAAUAGGGCUACAAAGUUGGUAUUGGUAGACGCGAAACCGAGUGAUCUACCCUUGGGCAGGUUGAAGCUUUGUUAACCCAAAGUGGAGGACCGAACCCGUUGACGUUGAAAAGUCUUGGGAUGACCUGAGGGUAGGGGUGAAAGGCCAAUCAAACUCGGAAAUAGCUCGUACUCCCCGAAAUGCAUUUAGGUGCAGCGAUUAUUUAGUUUUAUAGAGGUAGAGCUACUGAUUGGAUGCGGGGGCUUCACCGCCUACCAAUUCCUGACAAACUCCGAAUGCUAUAAAAUGCUUUUAAUCAGUGAGGGCAUGGGUGCUAAGGUCCAUGUCCGAGAGGGAAAGAACCCAGACCAUCAGCUAAGGUCCCCAAAUGUAUGUUAAGUUGAACAAACGCGGUUGAACUGCUUAGACAGCUAGGAUGUUGGCUUGGAAGCAGCCAUUCAUUUAAAGAGUGCGUAACAGCUCACUAGUCGAGCGGUUCGGCAUGGAUAAUAAUCGGGCAUAAACAUACUACCGAAGCUAUGGAUUUUGUACUUAAAGUACAAAGUGGUAGGGGAGCAUUGUAACGAAGCUGAAGGUGUACUGCGAGGUAUGCUGGAUUUGUUACAAAAGAAAAUGUAGGCAUAAGUAACGAUAAGACGGGCGAGAAACCCGUCCACCGAAAGACUAAGGUUUCCUCAGCUAUGCUAAUCAGCUGAGGGUUAGUCAGGACCUAACGCGAACCCGAAAGGGGUAGUGGAUGGACAAGCAGUUAAUAUUCUGCUACCUGCUUUAAAUUAAAAGCGACGGAGUCGGAAGGAUAGCGCGUACUGACGGAAUAGUACGUUGAACCACGAGUGAUUGUGGGAUAGUACACUUAAGCUACGGCGGCGGUGAUAGCUAUCUGCCCUGCUUCCAAGAAAAGCGAUUAAAGCAGCCUGUACCGUAAACCGACACAGGUAGUUGGGAUGAGAAUUCUAAGGUGCUCGAGAGAUUCAUGGCUAAGGAACUAGGCAAAAUAGACGCGUAACUUCGGGAGAAGCGUCGCCCCCAAGUUUACUUGGGGGCCGCAGUGAAAGAGUCCAGGCGACUGUUUAUCAAAAACACAGGGCUAUGCUAAAUCGAAAGAUGACGUAUAUGGCCUGACACCUGCCCGGUGCCGGAAGGUUAAGUGGAGGCGUUAUCAUUAGAGAAGCGCUAAAAUGAAGCCCCGGUAAACGGCGGCCGUAACUAUAACGGUCCUAAGGUAGCGAAAUUCCUUGUCGGGUAAGUUCCGACCUGCACGAAUGGUGCAACGAUCUGGACACUGUCUCAGCCAUGAGCUCGGUGAAAUUGUAGUAUCGGUGAAGAUGCCGAUUACCCGCUGUGGGACGAAAAGACCCCGUGAACCUUUACUAUAGCUUAGUAUUGGUUUUGGACAAGUGAUGUGUAGGAUAGGUGGGAGGCUUUGAAGCGGUAUCGCUAGGUAUCGUGGAGCCAUUGUUGAAAUACCACCCUUUACUUGUUUAAAGCCUAACCCCAUUUAUUGGGGGAAAAUGCUUGGUGGGUAGUUUGACUGGGGUGGUCGCCUCCAAAAGAGUAACGGAGGCUUCUAAAGGUUCCCUCAGCACGCUUGGUAACCGUGCGUAGAGUGUAAUGGCAUAAGGGAGCUUGACUGAGAGACAUACAGGUCGAUCAGGUACGAAAGUAGAGCAUAGUGAUCCGGUGGUUCCGCAUGGAAGGGCCAUCGCUCAAAGGAUAAAAGGUACUCCGGGGAUAACAGGCUGAUCUCCCCCAAGAGCUCACAUCGACGGGGGGGUUUGGCACCUCGAUGUCGGCUCGUCACAUCCUGGGGCUGGAGAAGGUCCCAAGGGUUGGGCUGUUCGCCCAUUAAAGUGGCACGCGAGCUGGGUUCAGAACGUCGUGAGACAGUUCGGUCUCUAUCUACAGUGGGCGUAAGAAAUUUGAGUGGAUCUGACUCUAGUACGAGAGGACCGAGUUGGACAAACCUCUGGUGUAUCUGUUGUUCCGCCAGGAGCAUCGCAGAGUAGCUACGUUUGGCAGGGAUAAGCGCUGAAAGCAUAUAAGCGCGAAACCCACCACAAGAUGAGAUUUCUUUAAAGGGUCCCCGUAGACUACGGGGUUGAUAGGCUAUAGGUGUAAAGGCAGUAAUGUCAUAGCCGAGUAGUACUAAUAACCCGUUUAGCUUAUGUAU